AAAGGGCUGCAGUAUUAUGACUGUACAAAGGUAGCAUAAUCAUUAGUUUUUUAAUUGAAAACUUGUAUGAAAGAUUUGAUGAAAUAUUAACUGUCUCUUAUUUUUUAUUAAAACUUUAUUUUUUAGUAAAAAAGCUAAAAUAAUUUUAAAAGACGAGAAGACCCUAUAGAGUUUUAUAUUUAAUUUUAUUUUAAAUUUAUAUAAAAAUUAAUAUUAAAAUAAAAUUAAUUAUUAUAUUGGGGUGAUAGAAAAAUUAAAAUAACUUUUUUUAAAUAAUAAACAUAGAUAAAUGAUUAAAUGAUCCAUUAAUAAUGAUUAUAAGAAAAAAUUACCUUAGGGAUAACAGCGUAAUAUUUUUUUUUAGUUCAAAUAAAAAAGAA
rnacentral:rRNA from 1 species